rnacentral:rRNA from 1 species
AGCUCCAAUAGCGUAUAUUAAAGUUGUUGCAGUUAAAAAGCUCGUAGUUGAAACUUGGGCCUGGCUGGCCGGUCCGCCUCACCGCGUGUACUUGUCCGGCCGGGCCUUCCUUCUGGGGAACCUCAUGGCCUUCACUGGGUGUGUGGGGGACCAGGACUUUUACUUUGAAAAAAUUAGAGUGUUCAAAGCAGGCCUUUGCUCGAAUACAUUAGCAUGGAAUAAUAGAAUAGGACGUGCGGUUCUAUUU